GGCGGGCCCCUGCGCAUUGUGGCAUGGUCAACCUGGUCAGGUCGGGAACGAAGCAGCCACAGCCGUUCACCACGAGUGCCGCAGACAAGGCUCGCCUCC
rnacentral:SRP_RNA from 1 species